UAGUGGAUGAUGCACUCUGUGC
rnacentral:miRNA from 1 species